GAUGAAGAACGCAGUGAAAUGCGAUAAGUAAUGUGAAUUGCAGAAUUCAGUGAAUCAUCGAAUCUUUGAACGCACAUUGCGCCCGCCAGUAUUCUGGCGGGCAUGCCUGUUCGAGCGUCAUUUCAACCAUCAAGCCCCAGGCUUGUGUUGGAGCCCUGCGGCUGCCGCAGCCUCCCAAAACCAGUGGCGGGCUCGCUAUCACACCGAGUGCAGUAGUUUACUCUUCGCUCAGGGCGUGUGGCGGGUGCUAGCCGUAAAACCCCCAACUUCUCAAGGUUGACCUCGGAUCAGGUAGGAAUACCCGCUGAACUUAAGCAUAUCAAUAAGCGAGGA
rnacentral:misc_RNA from 1 species